rnacentral:rRNA from 1 species
AUUGAACGCUGGCGGCAGGCCUAACACAUGCAAGUCGAGCGGAUGAAGGGAGCUUGCUCCUGGAUUCAGCGGCGGACGGGUGAGUAAUGCCUAGGAAUCUGCCUGGUAGUGGGGGAUAACGUCCGGAAACGGGCGCUAAUACCGCAUACGACCUGAGGGAGAAAGUGGGGGAUCUUCGGACCUCACGCUAUCAGAUGAGCCUAGGUCGGAUUAGCUAGUUGGUGGGGUAAAGGCCUACCAAGGAGACGAUCCGUAACUGGUCUGAGAGGAUGAUCAGUCACACUGGAUCUGAGACACGUUCCACACUCCUGCAGUGGGCAGCAGUGGAGAAUAUUGCACGAUGGACGAGUGCCUAAUCCUGCCAUGCCGCGUAUGUGAUGAAGGUCUACUGAUUGUAGAGCACUGUAAGUUGUGAGGUAGGACAGUAAUUUAAUACCUUGCUGUUUUGACGUUACCAACAGAAUAAGCACCGGCUAACUUCGUG